rnacentral:rRNA from 1 species
CCUACGGGAGGCAGCAGUGAGGAAUAUUGGUCAAUGGGCGCAAGCCUGAACCAGCCAAGUAGCGUGAAGGAUGACUGUCCUAUGUGUUGUAAACUUCUUUUAUAUGGGAAUAAAGUGCAGUAUGUAUACUGCUUUGCAUGUACCUUAUGAAUAAGGAUCGGCUAACUCCGUGCCAGCAGCCGCGGUAAUACGGAGGAUCCGAGCGUUAUCCGGAUUUAUUGGGUUUAAAGGGAGCGUGGGCGGGUUGUUAAGUCAGUUGGGAAAGUUUGCGGCUUAACCGUAAAAUGGCAGUUGAUACUGGCAGCCUUGAGUACAGUAGAGGUAGGCGGAAUGCGUGGUGUAGCGGUGAAAUGCUUAGAUAUCACGAAGAACUCCGAUUGCGAAGGCAGCCUGCUGGACUGUAACUGACGCUGAUGCUCGAAAGUGUGGGUAUCAAACAGGAUUAGAUACCCCAGUAGUC